rnacentral:rRNA from 1 species
CAUGCAAGUCGAGCGGUAGAGAGGUGCUUGCACCUCUUGAGAGCGGCGGACGGGUGAGUAAAGCCUAGGAAUCUGCCUGGUAGUGGGGGAUAACGCUCGGAAACGGACGCUAAUACCGCAUACGUCCUACGGGAGAAAGCAGGGGACCUUCGGGCCUUGCGCUAUCAGAUGAGCCUAGGUCGGAUUAGCUAGUUGGUGAGGUAAUGGCUCACCAAGGCGACGAUCCGUAACUGGUCUGAGAGGAUGAUCAGUCACACUGGAACUGAGACACGGUCCAGACUCCUACGGGAGGCAGCAGUGGGGAAUAUUGGACAAUGGGCGAAAGCCUGAUCCAGCCAUGCCGCGUGUGUGAAGAAGGUCUUCGGAUUGUAAAGCACUUUAAGUUGGGAGGAAGGGCAUUAACCUAAUACGUUAGUGUUUUGACGUUACCGACAGAAUAAGCACCGGCUAACUCUGUGCCAGCAGCCGCGGUAAUACAGAGGGUGCAAGCGUUAAUCGGAAUUACUGGGCGUAAAGCGCGCGUAGGUGGUUCGUUAAGUUGGAUGUGAAAUCCCCGGGCUCAACCUGGGAACUGCAUUCAAAACUGUCGAGCUAGAGUAUGGUAGAGGGUGGUGGAAUUUCCUGUGUAGCGGUGAAAUGCGUAGAUAUAGGAAGGAACACCAGUGGCGAAGGCGACCACCUGGACUGAUACUGACACUGAGGUGCGAAAGCGUGGGGAGCAAACAGGAUUAGAUACCCUGGUAGUCCACGCCGUAAACGAUGUCAACUAGCCGUUGGGAGCCUUGAGCUCUUAGUGGCGCAGCUAACGCAUUAAGUUGACCGCCUGGGGAGUACGGGCCGCAAGGGUUAAAACUCAAAUGAAUUGACGGGGGCCCGCACAAGCGGU